ACAACAGCUCAGGAGAUUGCCUACAUGCUUAUUUAUUAAUGAGACAACUGGGUAUUUUCUUUGUUGUCUCAAUAAAUAUUAUGUAUGUUUUGUCUUGGACAGUUUUUUAUCAGCAUGUCCUCUAGGUGUCAGUCAUGCACUUCCCCGUGUUGCUAAGAAAAUGCAACCUGGAAGUAUUGCGGUAUUGCACACACAGUAAAAGAUUAUAACAAUAUGAUACUAUGAUGUGUAGACUAUUGGAAGGCCGUGAAACUUUUUUCCGUUAAUAAUCGUUUAGAUCUUAUAUUUGAGUUUCACGAUACACGAUUUACAUACACGAUAAAAAAAAUAAGCGUUACACAAUACACACUGAUAUUUGAUUGGUUGACAAGUGUUGGGGUCUCGUGAGUUCGUUUCUGGAGAGAGGCUCGCGCAGUUUUUAGUUAGGACUCAGGAGGUCAUCGCACUAUUUCUGUGCCUCUUCCCAUUAAGGCUUUUUUAGUGUUUCUUUCUGGAUGUAAGAGGAUGAUGUAGCACUUUGGGGCAAAUAUUGCCACCAGUAAUCCAAAACUGGAAGCCAAAAUGGCAAAAAUCUCCACAGCCACUGCAUAUUUCCCUGGUGAGCUGACAUAAGCGGGAACAAACGCAAUCCAUACAGCACAAAAGAUCAACAUACUAAAAAAAUCUCUCCAUCUGCACAUGGCAGGCAGUCAAAACAGCAGACAGGAAGGCCUUUCCUCCUGGCUCGUCUGGUGCCUGGUGGGCAGCUCUCACUACACACAGACUGUGGAGGCUAAUGAAUGGAUCAUGAAAACAUUCCAGUAUAAUCCAUCUUCAUCCAGUGUGAGCACCUUCCCUGUUGCCGCCCCUUCAUCCACCACACCGACUGUUCGGACAAUGAUUGACCCAUCAGAGCUCGGCUGCCAGUUCAUCACAUCAUAGAUGGCCAGAGCAUCUCCAUUCUUAUCAAAUGACACAUGAUCCCCAAAACCUGUGGUGAAGUUCACCUUCUGUAGGACGAAGGUGCAACAGAAAGUCACGAAGUCCCUGGAUUUCUCCACGCCUGAUGGCAAUGCCCAGUGUUCCCCCAAGGAAAGGCAGAAGACGCUGUGUUUGAAAUACAGGAGAGGUGGCCCAAGCUUCACUUGCAAUCCACUGCUUCCCUGUCACAUUUUGCAAUGCCACCUCAUCCAUUAAAGGUACACGAAACAGCCCCAGCACACUGGAAAUAGCAAUGGAAGGAGUGGAAUUUGAGUCCCCCACAAUUCCAAUCACUGGUGGUGGUCCGGUGCAAUUAAGAUUGAAGAAGGACCCCUGUGUUCCACUAACAAGUGCUAUGGCAGCUCGGAACGCCAUUCCCAACAUAACACAGUUGUCAUAAAGAUGAUAACCAAGAGUGAUGUUUGGCAAGAAAUUGGGAUUCCUAUUGAUCUCAUCUAUAGCAAAGAUCAUAGUCUGUGCCUGCUGGAAGCUUGACAUAUCAAAUCUAGAAAACAGACAGUACCAAACCAAAAUAAGUUUGUAAUUACACAUCAUUUGAGAAAACAAAUAUUUGCAGCUAACACUUAACUUAAAGGCUUUAUGUAACAAUAUUUUUAAAAUAAUUGUUUUUCUGAGCUAUAUAACCACAAUUUUUUCUUCUUGUCUUAGUGUGGCAUGGCUGUCUGGAUGCACACUCACUCCUCACAGUAUGGUGGUUCCGGUUCAGUUCUGAAACUCAGCUCUGGGAACACAGCAAGAAAGUGAACUUCAAACAAGCCUCCAAGUAUAAGAUCCCCAUCCUGCUAUUGCUUGCUGGGCCCCUGGCUGAGAUUAAUGGAACUAGUCUGUGAGAAAUCUGGCUUAGAAAAGGUAACAAUGUCAAAACAGUAAAUUAAAUCUUUUGUCUGUGCCCUUUACUUGAAAACGUUUUAAUCAACUUGUCCUCUAGAUGACAUCACUGCACCACUGAUUUCUGCUGAGCAAUAACAUGAAAACCUUGACACUAAUAGGAUGUUCUGAUAGACAGACACACACCCCAGCAUAACAAUAUAGAUCAUUUUGCAAGAUGUAAACAACACAUUUCCAGAAGCACUUUCUUUUAAAGCUUUUACCACUAUGCAAACAUUAUAAAAACACAAACAUCAGAACAUUUAGAAAUAAAUCAAAAU